CACUGAAAAAACGAACUUGGUGGUGUAGUAAAAUAUACUAAUUAAACUGUCCUAAUGUCUACAAUUAAAUUUUUCGUUUCUGCGGGAACUAGAUUUUGUCAAGUAAAAUUUCAUGUAUGUACACAAUUUAUUUAUGUAUUUAAAAUGGCUGUGUGGAAGGAGUAAGUCUUAUUAUGGAUGUUUUCAUAACAUUUAAAUGUUUUUUAGUCUCUGCUAGAAACACUAAAAUACUGAGUAAAUUUUACGACACUAUUUUAGAGUGCGUUUGAAUCAGCGCAUGCGCAUUGGGACAAACGAAAGUACCGCGCGGAUGUCCAUUGUCCGUCCGUUCGUUGGCAGCAGACAGAGUUGUGAAUAUCUCCGGAAUCUCUCAGGUAAGUAACAGCUUUAUCCAUUAAAUAAUUUAUUAUCAGUUUAAAACGCGUUUUGGUGAUUAGUUUGAAGCACUGUAUGGACUGCACACCGAGCGGUCUACACCAAGGUUUGUGUGAUGUAGCUUAAUGCUAGCUAGCUAGUUAUUACCCAGUUCAUUCCACCAGAGUCGCACACCGCGCGGUUAAUUUGCGAGAUACUAUAUCUUAUUCAGAGCUAUUGUAUUUUGUCUCAUGUACUGUCCCGUGUAGUGCGAAUAUAACACAACGCUACGCCAAAGUUUUUCGUUUUUUUAGUUAUUGUCUAUGUGCUUUCACCUCGAAACAUCAUCUCAACUUUUAGCAUGGCGGCCGCGUUGCGGUGUAUCGUUGAAGCUGCGUGCCACGGUCAAGAGACAAACACAACAUGAAAAUGGCUGUAAAUUAAUCUAUAAAUUAUAAGUUGCCCUUAAAAAUAUGUGUUUUCAUUCACAGGCGACUGUUUUUGUAUUUAGCCGGCUGGGACAUGAGGUGACCAGAGAGUCAGGAGCGCUGGGAUGUUCAGUGACUAAUCAAAUACUGCACCGUUGUGAUUAGGCAAGUACAAAUACACUGCAUGUAUGCAUGACACAAUAUUGCUGUUUCUCACUCUCUGUAACAUACUUCUCCUUUCCACACAUGGAAACAAACCACUGCUCCUUGCAAGUAUUCGUAUCUUCUGACAUGAUAGUAUAUUGUGUACAAAUUAUUGUUUGCAACUGAUGCUAUUACUCCUUUCACAGAACCCAAGCACUGACAUGUGACGUGACGCAGUUAUCAGUGGCCUCAUACUAUUCCUUGGUGAAAAAGAAGAGAAACUUUUCGAAGAUUGCCUGGAGGACAAUCGCAGUGAUGCCACUCAACACAUAGUCAAGAUCCUGGUUGUCCAUGGUACUGAUGGAGAAGAACCAGUAGAUGUUUCCAUCAUUCUUGAAGGGAAGGAGGUAUUGACAUGAUGCAACAGCACAGCCAAAGCUUGCACGUUGCUAAUGGGACUGAUUUAUUCCCUGAACCUUGCCUACCCCUCGACUCUGCGCUACACCUUUGAGGUGUUUCAAAAACUUUUCCUGGAACUGAAUGGGAUAAAGCUGUCACCAAAAGUACAUCUUUAAAGUUGAAGUUGCUGUCUGAAAGGAGUUUUCUUUCUUAAAUGUUCCUAAUGUUGUCAACAAAGGCAACUGCUGUCAUUCAUGCUCACAAGGUAAAAAAAAAGUUAAAAAUAACCUUUGUUUUAAAGGUUUUAACAGAGGAUUUGAUGUUGUCCUCAAACUUUAAUGUUUUAACCGAAUGCUAAUAUAAAUAUGUUAAUGGAUGUUGUUGUUUAGAAUGUUGUUCAUGUCAGUACAGCAUAUUUUGUCAGGUCAAACCCUCAAUCUGUUUUGUCACCUGAUGUGCCCUGUUUAGUUUAAUGCGUCCAGGAGUCAAAAACAUUUUGAUUUUCCAGUGAUAUGCUUUUUUUCUGUAAAGCGUAAUGAUCACUCAGUAAAGGUAAACUUUUUUCUUUAUUGAUGCUUGAUUGAUGCUUUAUUGAUUUACUGCUGCUGAGAUUUCAUUUAAUUUUUUGUCAUGUGAAAUGUUGACUGCUGUUUCAUGUACAGUUCUACAUAGCUGUAUAAAAUGAGGUGUUACGUAAGGUACCUGACAAAGGUUUAUGAAUAAAUAAUGGAAUUGUA